rnacentral:rRNA from 1 species
UACGUAGGGGGCUAGCGUUGUCCGGAUUUAUUGGGCGUAAAGAGCGUGUAGGCGGCCAGGUAGGUCUGGUGUGAAAACUCGAGGCUUAACCUUGAGAUGUCAUCGGAAACCAUUUGGCUAGAGUCCGGAAGAGGAAAGUGGAAUUCCUGGUGUAGCGGUGAAAUGCGCAGAUAUCAGGAAGAACACCAAUGGCGAAAGCAGCUUUCUGGGACGGUA